GCCUUUGUGGUGUAACGGUAGCACACUCAGCCCGUAUUUCAGAGGUCCAAGGUUCGAGUCCCAGCGAGGGCA
rnacentral:tRNA from 1 species